rnacentral:rRNA from 1 species
UACGUAGGUGGCAAGCGUUGUCCGGAUUUACUGGGCGUAAAGAGCGCGCAGGCGGUCGUUCAAGUCGCGUGUGAAAGCCCCCGGCUCAACUGGGGAGGGUCACGCGAUACUGAUCGACUCGAAGGCAGGAGAGGGAAGUGGAAUUCCCGGUGUAGUUGGUGAAAUGCGUAGAUAUCGGGAGGAACACCAGUGGCGAAGGCGACUUCCUGGCCUGUUCUUGACGCUGAGGCGCGAAAGCUAGGGGAG